rnacentral:lncRNA from 1 species
CUGAAACAAGCUAAGGAAAAAAAUAAUAUAUGUAUAUGGGAAAAGAACAGGAAUAAUAAUGCUGAAACAAAACAACCAGGACCAAAGAAUGCAAAAGCUCUUUCUUUCCUUUGCAGUGGGGACAGCAGGUGGGAGCUUUCCAAGCCAGACAAAGGAGACCUGACAAGGACCUGUGGUGAAGGGACAAGCACAAGGCAAGGAAGUGUCCGGUCACCUCCUCUGCUGGAACAGGCAGCAGAGACCUGGAGAGACAGGAGACAUCUUGCAAGACUCAACACCUGGAGCAGUGCUAACCAGGUGGGCAGCCCUGAUGUCAGCCAAGCUCUACGUGCUCAUCACUGGCCCGACGGCAGCCGGGUUAUCGACAUCGAGAACAUCAAGGAGCCCCGCAAGCCCUUCCACCUCUGCACUGUGGGGGAGCAGGUCCUGGCCCGCUGCCCUGGAUUCAGUGGGCUGUACUGGGGUGUGGUGGAAGGCAUAAGUGAGCACAAAGGUAUUUUGGAGAAGAAGCUGCUGGAAGAUCGACAGCUCCUGGAGAAGUUAAAAGAAGAACCAGCUGUCCACAGCAUGAUGCCAUCCCCACCAAAAAAAUCCAGGAAAACCUUUCCAAAAUGGACCUCAGGGAAUGCAUCCAGGAAAUACCCCAGUGACAGGAACUCUCCUGCAAAGCCACUGCUGAGGGUGGCUGAGGCCAGCCUGCCCCGUGAUGCCAGCAGCUCCUCCAUCAAGGACAGGCGUGUCCUGGGAAGCGUGGCAGGGAGUCCCUGCUCACUGGCAGCUCCCCCCCACCCAGCCAGUGCCUUCACACCUCCAUCCACCUUCAUCACCAUGGCCAUGCCAGGGCCAGGGACUUCCCAGAGUGAAGAGGACAGGGCUGGCCCAGCUGCCAGAGGGUGGAGAAGAUGGAGCAGCUGGAAAGGAUGGUGUUGGACCUCCAACAGGACGUCCUCUCUCUGAAGAAGAAGGUGCAGAGGCUGGAAUCCCUGUCCUUCCAGGAGGAGCCCCACCGACAGCCGUGUGAGGUGGUGGAGCUCUUCAACGGCUACACCAAGGAGCAGCUCAAAGAGACCAUCAGGUUUGACCAGAAAAUCAGCACAGCCUGCAAGACUCUGCUCUACAAACUCUUCACCUCUGACUACAUCCAGAGCCACUCCAUCACAGGGCGCAGGGGCAACACCUUCCGGGAGGCCAAGCCCAUGAUGGACGAACGCUGCAUCAAAAUCAUCCGGGUGCUGCUGAAGCAGAAGUUUGGGGAUCACCUCAGUGACACCGUGAUCACAGAGAAGAUCCAGAACGUGCAGAAAGCCCUGAGGCAGAAGUUUAAGACAGAAUGUCUCUGAGGAGUGGAGAAUUUGGUGUCUCCUCCUGCCAUUCCGUGUGUGUCCCUGAGCAGCCUUCCCAGGAGAGAUGAGCCGAGCAGCUGCUGCUCAGUAGAUUUCCCCCAGGGAGCCAGCCCAAGUAAACCACGUGCUGAACACAGCUCAAACACUGCCAAACCUCUGCCUCCAUUAACUGAGCAGGAACUGGGCCCAGCUUGGCUCGGUUUUUGCACUCUACAAGUUCCUUCCCAUCCAGUCUGUGUGAGAACCUCACUGUGGGUGCAUGGAAUCACCUCUACGACUCUGAUGGUGCUCAAAGGCUUCAGGGCUCCAUUUGAGUCCAAGAAUGGGUCAGAAAGGUAGCCUUGUUCCACACUGCAGAAAUGUUGGCUUUGGGAUGGGGAAUCCAGCUGCAGACAGCCUGUGUCACCCAAUGUGGCUUCUCUCUCUCUGCCUCUGGUUGCCUCAUUCUGCCUGUGGGACAAUAUUUACUCUUUCCUCACAGUGAAUGUUUUAUUUCCAUCACUAAAGAAAGGCAGACUCAUUAAAAUGACACCUUAAAACAUUCAGAAAAAGAUAUCUUGAUUUUUUUCUGCCUAUUUGAAUGUAGCUAUAAGGAGGAGUUGUCUUCCCUAACAAAAGCCUGCUGAACAAGAGAAAGGGUCACCCAUGAAAGUUACAUUAAUUUUCCUUUCUAGAUCAGAUUAUUUCCAUACAAGAAAAAUCCCCUACAUUUUUAUGACACAAGAGUGAGGGAUGGAGGACAAAAUAUGGCCCAACUUUGCUUCAAAGACACACAUAUUGUGGACACUGUCAGUGUUAUUUAAAUACAGUAUUUUUAUCCUAGAUAAGAAAUGCCGAGUACAACCAGACACUUUGCUGAGGGACUACAGAGAAGGUCUAGAAAGACACAUCUUUUCCUAAAUAAUUCAGAGCUGGAGUGUGGGUGGGUUAAAAUUGUUCUAAGCAUUAAAAGAAUGAGAUGCUGACACCAGUCCAGCACUUAACAGAAGUGUUGCAAAAUACCAAACAUUCCCUUUUACAGAGGCUUCUCUGACAAGGAAUUGGUUUUCUCAGCUUAAUUUUUAAAUUAUUCAGGAAAAGAAAUGCCAGUGGGUUUGCAUUAAUCAAAACAUUUGGUUUAAUUUAUAUGUUUUGUUGUGUUUUCAAGUAUUUAAUUUCUUCACAGUUACAUGAGAAAUAAUAAUGCAAAAUAAAUG